GAGCCUACGGGGGGCAGCAGUGGGGAAUAUUGCACAAUGGGGGAAACCCUGAUGCAGCAACGCCGCGUGAAGGAAGACGGUUUUCGGAUUGUAAACUUCUGUUCUUAGUGAAGAAGAAUGACGGUACCUGACCAAGAAGCCCCGGCUAACUACGUGCCAGCAGCCGCGGUAAUACGUAGGGGGCAAGCGUUAUCCGGAAUUACUGGGUGUAAAGGGAGCGUAGACGGUUAAGUAAGUCUGGAGUGAAAGGCCGGGGCCCAACCCCGGGACUGCUCUGGAAAUUAUUGAACUU
rnacentral:rRNA from 1 species